AAACUGAGGAUAAUACUGGAUAGGCAAUUUUUCCUGUAAUGGUUUUUUGUUUAAAUGUUUUUUCGCCUAAGGAUGGGUCUGCGGCCGAUUAGGUAGUUGGUUAGGUAAUGGCUUACCAAGCCGUUGAUCGGUACGGGUUGUGAGAGCAAGAGCCCGGAGAUGGAACCUGAGACAAGGUUCCAGGCCCUACGGGGUGCAGCAGGCGCGAAACCUCCGCAAUGUGAGAAAUCGCGACGGGGGGAUCCCAAGUGCCAUUCUUAACGGGAUGGCUUUUCAUUAGUGUAAAGAGCUUUUGGAAUAAGAGCUGGGCAAGACCGGUGCCAGCCGCCGCGGUAACACCGGCAGCUCUAGUGGUAGCAACUUUUAUUGGGCCUAAAGCGUCCGUAGCCGGUUUAAUAAGUCUCUGGUGAAAUCCUGUAGCUUAACUGUGGGAACUGCUGGAGAUACUAUUAGACUUGAGACCGGGAGAGGUUGGAGGUACUCCCAGGGUAGAGGUGAAAUUCUGUAAUCCUGGGAGGACCGCCUGUUGCGAAGGCGUCUAACUGGAACGGUUCUGACGGUGAGGGACGAAAGUUAGGGGCGCGAACCGGAUUAGAUACCCGGGUAGUCCUAACUGUAAACGAUGCGGACUUGGUGUUGGGGUGGCUUUGAGCUGUCCCAGUGCCGAAGGGAAGCUGUUAAGUCCGCCGCCUGGGAAGUACGGUCGCAAGACUGAAACUUAA
rnacentral:rRNA from 1 species